ensembl:lncRNA
UACAUAUAUCUUUGCAUACACACACACUUUUUUUUCCUUUUAAAAUUUGUUCUCAUUUCCUCUCACAUAUACUCUUUCUCCAUAUGUAACAACAUGAAAAUUUGUGAUUUUACUUUCAUUCAUGACUUUCCCAUAGCUCAUCUUUGAAUACAUUUCUUUCAUAAACAGUAUGUAUUAAGUCUCUGCUCAGCCAUGUGCUGAGCAUUAGUGGCUACAAUAUUAAUCAGAUGUGACUCAGCUCUUUAAUCUAGUGUGAAGAGCGGAUAUUUUCAUAAAUAGUCCAGGAUAAAAUGAGGCAAAAGAGCAGGUAAGAAACAUUAAGAAUGAUAUCUUCUCUUGUUUCCCAAAGCAAAUCAUGUUCUCAAUAUUAUGUCUCUAUUGUCCCAUUGGCAUUGGUGAUACAGCAAGCCAGUUCAGGUGAGAAGCACCAGUCAUACCAACCAUGCCACUGAAGUAGAGUUUCAGAGCGUCUCAUGGCUCCCAUUCUCAGAUCUGUACCAAGACAGAACAUUUAUAGAAAGAGGAGAUAAAUGAUGAAUGUUGCAAUCUAGUCUGAUAAGGGGAUCUCCCCCUGGAUAGAUUCUACCUAUGUGUGAUACAACAUCUUGGAUGCUUUGUGACUAAGGUUGCUACUUCUUUUCAAAUUAGUAAACAAAACAUAGAUGAUCAAAUAAAUAAAAGGUACACUAACAGUGUCCAAAAGCAUUACCAUUCUUAGAUUUGGCCAGGGAACCAACCAGUGGUUUAUAUUUAUUGAUGACAUAGGCCAAUGCUGUGGAAUUUAUUAUUUAUUUUAUUUUAUAUUUGUUUUCAAAUGUGACCUCUUAUCUUAUGGAAGGUGAAGAAGCCAGGGUCAUUUGCCAUGGUCCCUUUCUCAAAAAAAGAACCUGAAUGUAUAGCUCAAUGCCACUGUGAAUCCUAAUGCAUAUAUAUUCUGGUGACAGUAUCUGCAUACAAUAAUUGCAACUUCCUGCACACACUUGCAAAUUGUCUGUAAAACAAUCACCUUAGAAAUAACAAUGUCAUUAGUGCCAAUAUAAUUCUACUAUUUUUCUACAUUUGCUUCUUGGUUUGCAUUUUGUGUAACUUGUGAUGUAUACAAAUGAUAAACAUGACAAUAAUAAAGAUCUUUUUGCCAAAAA